rnacentral:lncRNA from 1 species
ACGGGGUCUAUUAAAUAGAAAGUGACAUUAAUUUACAGACUAGUGGUCUCAGGUUUGAAAUCCCAUCACAUCUUGAUAGUGUGUACGUGUGUGAGAAAACACGCUCCCAUUAUAGUCUAGACUAUCGCUUAUAUGCUUGUAAUAUUAACAUCAUACUAAAUGCUAAACGCCAUGUGUUAUGCAAGACAGAAAAUGAAGAAAAUAGCUGCACUAAUUAACUUUAAAAUGAUAAUGUAGUUUUUUUUUUUUUUUUUUGGUUGAGAAAAUCUUAUCGUUUCUCUUUGAGAAAACCCUAAAGAAAAAUCUCUAGCCGCUGCCCCCUUUGGGAGUCGGUGACCACCCUUCUUACUCCAUCCCUUUUCUUCUCCUCUCAUCCCUCUGGAUUCUUUGUUUUUUGUUUUAUUUUGUGAUGUAGAAGUGGCGUCGCCAUGAUAUAGUUGUCUUUUGGACCAUGCAUGAAAGGAUUUGGCUCCAAUUAUCAAUAUGUGAUAUAUAUAUAUAUAUAUUUGAAAUUACGAAGCAGGGAUGAUGCCGAGUAACGUUGUUUUCGGGUUUAGCCAGUGCAACACUAUGGGUUUAGCCGAUAUGGCGUUAUAGCUCUGUCGGUGUAGGUGGCUUGAUACAAGCCAUGAUGUGUAAGUCCCACAUAGGAGAAUACAACGUUAAUCUACAGUUUAAAUAUAGGUGGUCCACUCCUAAUUACAUCGAGACCUUUUAAGUUAAAACCCCACACCUAAAGGUCCAUUGGGCCUACUCUCACCCAAGGUAUUGGACGUUGGUUAAGGUGGGGAUAAUAUCGGUGCAUGGUUUGGAUAGAUAGAUAUUGAACUCCUAUUGGGCUCGUUGAUACAACAAUUGGUAUCAGAGCCUGGUUUGGCUAAGACACACUUGGUUCAAGGUAGAGCCAUUGACAUGUUCAAGGAGGUGACUCAAGUAAAAAUUAUUGGACCAGUGAAGAAAGGUGGAGUAGGCUAGUAGAAUUGAGACAAAGUGUGGCUGAUUGCAACCUUGGCAAAGGUAAAAUCAUGCAUUGCAUAUUUUAGGUUAGGUUGAGUAAAUAUGAUGACUAAUCUUGUUCAAAUAUGUCUUGCCAAUAUGAUUCUUCAGUCCAAGUCGAAAGUCAUAGUGUUGAGGAGAGCCUUCCCAAUCAAAAUGACAAUGUUAUCACUGGUCCUCUAAAUCAAGGGGUUAGAGCUAGCCAAUUGCAAUAACUAGCUAAGGAGAUCAGCCAUGUGUGCUAUGUCUCUAAGGAAGAGCCUAAGAAUGUAAAAGAGGCCUUGAAACAUCAAGAAUGGUUUAUGACAAUGCAAGAUGAGUUAAAU